rnacentral:lncRNA from 1 species
GGUGCGCUUGACUUUCUUCAAAAUUCUUUUUUAACCAAGUGUUCAAAUGACACUGUUUGGGGUAUUCUAACUCAGCAACGACGUACUAGCUGUUAAUACAUAAUUAACUAAAUAAAAGUGUUCCCUCUCUGAUAUCUAAGUUUUUUAGAUGAGACGGUUCACACAAUUCACCAUAGUAGAGCAGGCAGACCUCAGCAACGACGUACGAGCACGAGUGAAGUGGCUAUCAUACAAAUCUAUUUACGGAUCUAUAUGCUUCGAUUGGAACUGGAAGUUCCAGAACAGGUGGGAUAGAAGACCAAGAGCGCUUAUGUAUCAUCUCCUGUCGAAAAGCGAAAAAACCCCUUCUUCUAUAUGAGACCUAGCUCUUUCCUCCCUUUACUAAAAAUUCUUCUAUUAGUAUUAGUGAAAGCUCAAUCCCAACUCUCUCACUAAGACCGGAUCUUGCAAACAGUGUUCUUCCUAAAAAGCCAGAGCGGAUA